AUUUAUUAUUAAUAUCUUUAUAUAUUGAAUAGAUUAAUAUAAAUAAUUAAAUAAAUGUAAUUAAUGAAAUGGAUCUAAUAAGACUAGUAUGACUUUUUUAUGGUAGAUAAAAAAGGUACUUCUCUUUUAAUAGAGAAGAUUAUUCAAUCUUAAUUAUUUUAAAAUUUUAUGUAGCCAUGAAAUGGUUAUGCAGAGCUGAAAGAAAUUGGUAUUUUCUUGAGAAUAUGAAGAGAAGAAUCGGUCUUGCAAUUAUAAAUUUACACGAAUCCCUUAUAUACUAAAGCGCAAGUCGUCUGGCGAAUCAGAUAUUGCCAUGUGGAAAUUUUUUUAAAAACAAUUAAAAAAUUUAACACUUGCAAAAGUUUUAAAAACAAUUAUUUUUUUUCCUAUAUUUCAACAAUUCAAAUAUUCAACUACCUAUAUUCCUAAUUUUUCUCAAAAACCCACCCCACGUUACUCAUAUAUUUUGAAACUGUUUUUUUUUUGUAUAAAACUGUUUCUUCAUCUCUAAUAUAAAUUAAAUUACUUUCUUCUCUCUAUUGUAUCUACAAAGCAUCGUGUCUUCAAAAGUGAGACUCUAAGUUUUGACACAUGGCGAUCAAAGUUCAUGUUCUCUGAAUUGUACUCAGGUCUAAGCUUUACAUAGAACAAACAAUCAGUGCAUUUUUUUUUGGUUUAAAAACAAUCAGCGCAUUGUUGCAUUGUGUCUAUACUCUACAGCACAUCAUCAAAAAGAAAAAGAUUACGUUUUACCCAUCCAUGUGCAACAAAAAUUACGUUCUUUACAUAUUUGCUAUAAAUGGAGAGAACAAAUGUGAAAAGAGAUCAUGAAUUUGAGUGUAACCAAAGAGCUAUGAUGCAGGUUGAAGAUGUUACCGGAAUAUAUUGCUAUUUCCCAGCUCAAUUAAUUUCAAAAAAUGAAAAAUUAGAGUACUGGUCUCUCGGAUUUUUGGAUGAAAAGAAACCGGUCGAUGAGGGACACGUAUAGGAAGAAAAGUCCGGUUUUGGUGACCGAGAGGGGGUGACGUGUACGGUUGGAGAUGUGUUAGUUGGGUGGCGGGAGAGAUGAGAGAAAGAAAGGUUCAUUGCACCACUGACAAAGACAGACCUUUUAAUUCCGUAAAUAUCUUGUCUUUCUCUUGUUUUAUUUAUUUUCCUAUUCUUUUGGUUCUUAAUAUCUCAAAUAAAUAACAUUAUAUUGGUUGUCAACAGAGCGUUACUUUUUUUUUGUGCAUAACAGAACGUUACUACUAUAAAACUAUUUUACCAAGUUCCAUAUGUUUUAUGCCACUUGUGUCGUAUUCUUUGGAUAAUGUGUAAACGACAUGUUAUCUGUAAAUGGAAAUGUGAAAGUUGGUUCUGGAUGAUGGGCAACAGACUAAAUACCCAAGACACCUCAGAUUCAAUGAACCAAUCA